rnacentral:sRNA from 1 species
CAUCAUGAUGUGAUUAAGUUUGUCAAUGAAUGCACCUUCAAAAGAAUAUAUAGCCAGCAGUUUAUUAUAACGUUUAUAACACAUGGAUUCAAAAAUAGGGUGCAAAUAAGAUGAUGCUACUCAGACAAUCAAUUAGGGUCCCUUAUCAAAGCUAGCUCAAACUAAAACUGCACCUGACUAAAGCAACACCUUUUUUUAAAUACUUAAAUUCUAAAUGACAGAGAACCAGAGUUUAACAACCAUGAUUUUUCUUAAAAAGUAAUAAAAAAAUUUAAUUAAAAAAUCACCAGGAAAAUGGAAAACAAUCUGGACAAAAAUGCUGUUGCUCCAAAGAUUUGCAAUGUAGGGACUACCCCAUGCAUAAAGCUAAUGGAUUUGCUUUAAAAUUCCAAAAGAAAUUUGUUGUACUUCUCACCUGUUGACAAUCAAUUAGUUACAUGUUCCUUAAUGUAAAGUUAAUUCAUGGCACUCUUGAUCCACCUGUUAUCUACAAAUAUUUACCUUAUAUAUAUACUGUAGUGUAUGUUUUAUAUGAUUGUAUUCUAAAUGAAUGGCUGUAGUGCACGUUUGUGCAUUAUGAAGUCUCAUUCAUUGUAUAAGGGGCAACUUUUUCUUUUUCUCACAAAUUGAAAGUAACGUAGUUGUAAACAAAUCUUUUUAUCUGUAUGGCCUUAUAUGAGAUUUUAUUUUUACAAAAAGCCAGUAUAAAUGAGAAAAGGGGAAAUACACAAAAAGAUUUUCAAUAAACAAUAUAAUUUU